CGGGCCGCUCUCCACUGCAGGCUGGCGGAAGCCCUAGCGAAAGCCCGGCCAGAGGAAAUUCCCCUCCCCAUUUCUCCCGCCUCCCUGAAGAGGACAGAAGCAGGAAGGCACCCACUGAGGGGCUGAGGGAACCAGUCUGUGGGCCACAGGGCCGCCUCAGAGCUGUGUCCUUCGGAGGCCUGGGGCAGUCAACAUCGUCAUCACGGUUGGAUCAAAACGAAAGUAACCAGGAAAAACUCACUUUUAACCUAAGCAGACCGAUCCAUCCACAGUAGUCCUUCAGGACUCUCCUGUCACCCUCCAUUGAAUCCUCAGUGCCUCAGAGGAAGAGCACAGGGGGCAGGAUGGGUGGACAUCUUUAACAUGUUUACUUCUAAAGAGCUCCUGAUGCUGCUGACUUCUGGCUUACUGGAGUCCAAGAGGGGAAAAAAAUGGGUUGAAAAUGAGAACAUAUUCAUGUGAAGGAGUGAAAAACAGCUGGAAGUACAACACUCAUUUGGAGAUGGAAUGAAUAAAUGAGAUAAAAUCCUAAAUAAAUAU
rnacentral:lncRNA from 1 species